UGGCGGCACUAGCGCGGUGGUCCCACCUGACCCCAUGCCGAACUCAGAAGUGAAACGCCGUAGCGCCGAUGGUAGUGUGGGGUCUCCCCAUGCGAGGAGUAGGGACUGCCAGGCA
rnacentral:rRNA from 1 species